rnacentral:rRNA from 1 species
ACGCUCGACACCUACGGGAGGCAGCAGUGGGGAAUAUUGCACAAUGGGGGAACCCUGAUGCAGCGACGCCGCGUGAGGGAAGAAGGUUUUCGGAUUGUAAACCUCUGUCCUUGGUGACGAUAAUGACGGUAGCCAAGGAGGAAGCCACGGCUAACUACGUGCCAACAGCCGGCGGUAAUCUGAGCGGGCUGGCAAGGC